AUCGUGCUGUAUUAUAAGUUUAAAUAUAACCCACUUCCUUUUCACUGUAAGCUCAUCUGCACAUUGUAAUUUUGAUUCCAUGCUCCAGUGUGUCUACAUUUGUUUGGAAUUAAUUACUUGUAUGCUUUGUUUGCGCAUUAAGAAGCACAGUGCAAUAUGUUGGUCAUUAAAAAGUGAGAUAAUAAGAAUUAAAGGAACACUAUUGGGUCAGGAAC